CGCUGUCAGUGGCGGGGGCUCUGCUUGGCCCCGGGCAGCCGACGCAUAGCUCUGCCCCGGGCGGUGCCGAGCCGGUGCCGUGCCGAGCCGAGCCGAGCCGUGCCGAGCCGCCCAAGGAUGCUCCGCGCCCGGCUCCCCCGCUAGCAGGCACCUCGCGAGGCAGGCAGCAUACUGCCGGCAGCCGGCCCGGCCCCGCUACCCAGGUCUCAUGUUCCAGAGGACUGCAGCGGGAAGGAGGCAGCUGCACAAUGAACAUCAAUGUUAACGGAUACUUUAUUUGGAAAAUCCUUCAUGGUUUGGCCAGGGUACAGGCUAAAUCCUGCCUUUACCCUGUGCAACAGGACAAGCGUUUGAUAAGAGGAGCAGAAAAUGUGCAGCAGCAGGAUAGAUCCACCCUUUAGUAUGCAAAGCAUGUCCACUAGGUGAUGUACAUGCUGCAAGAGCUGCCAUAUCACCUGCUUGUCUCCCUUCAUGCUAUUGUUUACCCUCUGCUUUUGGUCGUGAUGAAAAUGUAUUAAGUUCCUUCCAAAUCAAAAGAAAGAGGCUAUCUACUUUCAGGAGUUUGCAGCCCCACGCUGAUGUAUAUUUUGAUGUCUUCUCCUUGUCUGAUGUGAUAGAUUUUAGCCUUGCUUCAUGUAUAUUUAUUUGGGGAAUUCCUUAAUUAAAUUCUAUGCUAAGGACAUUUUUUGCAUUCUUCUUUGCCUUUUGACAUUGUCAGAACUCCUAAAAACCCUUUACUGUCACACCAUACUGAAGUACUUUGCACAAGUAUAUAUGCACUGUGACAGAGAAAGAAAAGCUGGGUUAUUUUGGAAUGCAUAAGUAAAAGAUCACAUAAGCAAAAUUUAUAUAUUGAUGGUCAUUUGCAGGAAUGCCAGCUUUGUCACAACAGUCACUUAUUUUCAGGGAAAUAUGGCUUCUUAUUUAAAAAAAAAUCUUUUCACAAAAAAAAAAUCUACUGGUUAAAUAUAGCAGCAUUAAGAAAAAGAGGGAGAAAAGUGUUUUGAAAACUUUCACAGACGCAAAAAGCUUAUCUUGUC
rnacentral:lncRNA from 1 species